rnacentral:lncRNA from 1 species
AAAAAACAAGAGCUAGGUAGAAAUUGAUUCUACCAGAAACCGUAGUGUCGUAGAUCAACAAGUCGUCGAUCAAGUUCAAUCAUGUUGUUGGUGUUGAAGAAAGAACAUCUAUUGGGCUUGACAAAGAAGAAGAAGAAGAAGAAGAAGAAGAAGACGAAGACGAAGAAGAAGAAAAGGAGGAGGAGAAUUUGGGAAGGGAAGGUGUCUGCUGUCAUGGGAGAAAGAGGAGGAGGUGCAAAGGAUUAGGGGUUUGAAGGAUAAGAGCAGGAGGUGUAGAGGGAGAAAGUAGCAGCCAUGGUUGGAGCUGUUGAAGCUCUAGUUAGGAUUAGAGAAGUGAAAGCAGUAUUUUUGGUGUGUGAGGGAGAGAGUUCGGAGAAAAACAAGGUUAGUCAAACGUUAAGAUUGAUUAAAACAUGUGGCUAUGAUGAUGCCACGUUAGACAGUGAAACUUUACUUUGUGAAUGAAAGAAUUUUCGUGUUAUUUGAUGUGGUUGUAUGUUUUUCAAUUGCACCAUAAUUAAGUGUUUUAGGCUUCUUUUUUUUUUGAACUUAUCAAGUGUUUUAAGUUGUUAGUCAAUGUCUAGUAAGGAUUAGUUAGAUAUUGAUCAUAAUCUAGAUAUAGCCCUUGAUUUAAUCGAUUGAUGUCUCUUGAGUUUGAUUGUUGUUUCCUCCUAACCUGUUUUGAAAAGCUGAGGUGUGCCGUUUCAAAUGCUAUUAAUUAAUAAUUUAUCCACAUAUUUUAAGUACUUAUAUUCUAUCUUUUUUAUGUGGUAAUUUGAGUCGAUAAUAUCACUCAAAUUUAAUGAAACAUUUACUAUAUACUAAAGUUGAGUUACUGUAGCUAAGCUUUUUGAGAUUAUUUACGUUAUUGCCAUAACGGGCCACUCAGCCCUUAUUUGUUGUUUUGGGCCUUAUUUGUUCUUUCAUCGCUCUAUUCUUUUCUCACUUUCUUCCUGUUUUUUUUUUCCCAAGAAAUUCUCACACACCGCACAGCAGCCUGCCACCUCUGUAGCUGAGUUUUCUUCAUUGUUUUUUCAGAAACUGAUUUCUCCAGAAAUUGACACAAUAGAGAGAGAGAGAGAGAGCAGAAGAAAGACUGAAUCGGCUGGAAACUGAAAAGUGUACUCCUCUUCAAACGUUUGGGAUUUUCGGAAGUGCAUGAUCUUUGUCUCUCAGGUAAGUCACAUCCCCUUUUUCCCUUUUGGUUUCUAGGGAUUCAGUUUCAGAGAACAGUGCAGUCUUAAUCACCAAUUUAACUAAAUACUAAGCGGCCUGGCACCGCCUUACUGUUCCCGUGAACAGUGUCAGUUGGGCGUGGGUCGUUUUCUUUUUCUUCCUCUCUCUCGAUCUCUAAACCCACCACCCACCUCAGUUUCCAUUAGUUUCCAGAGCUCUCUCUCGAUCUCUCUACACUCCACCUCUCUUAACCUCUCCUUCCCUCUCUUUCGUCGCUUCCUUCAUCAGUCUCAGCCAAUUGUAGUCUCUCCCUCUCUCUGCUUCUGUUUGGAAAAAAAGGAGAAGGAGCGCAGAGAUUGAUUAAUCCAACUUUAGAUUCAUUGCAGUCGGUCUUGCACACCUCUGGAAGAAUCUGGGCUCCUUCUCCUUUUUUUUCCAAACUAGAAGCAGAGAGANNNNNNNNNNNNNNNNNNNNCCUCGCCAACAUUCAUCAUGUUGUUUAUAAAGUGGUUGUAACUAAAUUUGGUUUCUAA